AAAUUAUAUCCUUAGUAAGCAAUGUCUAAGCUCUCCCCAACCUCCUUUUUGGUCACAUUUCUAAUUUUCGGGGUCGUUCUUGCCACCGUGAUACCAUGCAAUGAAGCUGGACUGACCUAUCGAGAACUCGUUCAGAAGCCAAGUUGUCCUCCCUGCCUGUGUUGCCAAACUGCAAUACCCCCACGAUGCUGCUAUUGUGCCUGUUUUGUGACUCAAUCUGGAAAUAAGAUUCCAUGAAGAUCAAUGAUCAUCACAAAUUUUUAUAUUUCUAAUAACAUGUAUAACAUACGGUUUUCAAGUAAGUGUGUAACUCACAAAUUCUAUGGUAAGUCUUGGAUAGAUUUGUUCUGUUGAUGAUCAAUUUAAUAAAAAAGAUUACAAUAAUUUUUUGUUA